rnacentral:rRNA from 1 species
UACAGAGGGGGCAAGCGUUGUUCGGAAUUACUGGGCGUAAAGGGCGCGUAGGCGGCCAACUAAGUCGGACGUGAAAUCCCAAGGCUCAACCUUGGAACUGCGUCCGAUACUGGAUGGCUUGAAUCCGGGAGAGGGAUGUGGAAUUCCAGGUGUAGCGGCGAAAUGCGUAGAUAUCUGGAGGAACACCGGUGGCGAAGGCGGCAUCCUGGACCGGUAUUGACGCUGAGGCGCGAAAGCCAGGGGAGCAAACGGG